rnacentral:tRNA from 1 species
GCUCUAGUAGCUUAAAAUCUUAAAGCGUCGUCCUUGUAAAUCGAAGCUGGACCCCCCCCUAGAGCA